UACGUAGGAGGCAAGCGUUAUCCGGAAUGACUGGGCGUAAAGGGUGCGUAGGUGGUUUGACAAGUUGGUAGCGCAACUCCGGGGCUCAACCUCGGCACUACUACCAAAACUGUUGAACUUGAGUGCAGGAGGGGCAAAUGGAAUUCCUAGUGUAGCGGUGGAAUGCGUAGAUAUUAGGAGGAACACCAGUGGCGAAAGCGGCUCUCUGGUCUGUAACUGACGCUGAGGUUCGAGAGCGUGGGUAGCAAACAGG
rnacentral:rRNA from 1 species